GAUCAUCUCCAUUUCCUUUCCUCGGAAUCCUUUGAUCUGUAACUUCUUCACUGGAAAAGAUUUAUAACAACCUUUGUCCUCGUGGAAAAUUGAAAAUUCAGUCACAAGCUUUCCCUCAUAUCUUCAUCACAUCGUGUAAGAGACCCUGAAAACAGAGAGACCGCCUAAAUGACAUUUUUUUUUUUUUUUCAGAGACUUCAUUGUGCAGUUCACUUUCUAUAAUCUAUACUAUGAAUUGCGUUACUGGUGUAGGAAGAUAAUGCCAGCUUGAGG